ACACACACACGGCCAUGUGUAGAAGCUCCAGCUGCACCGUGUGUGUGGUGGCGUGAGACUGUGGGGCCUUUGGGAGGGUGGCCCUUGGAAGAGGACAUGAGUUUUCUCCCCUCACGUCUUUCUGGCCUUGUCUCUCCUUCCACCGUGUGAAGCCAGCCAACUGCAAGCCAGGAGGAGGGCUCUCCCAGGAACCGAAGUGGCCAGGACCUGGAUGGGGGAUUCCCUGGAUGGUGGACUCCCAGCCUCCAGCACCGUGAGAAGCCAGCGUCGGGAGCGAUGGUAGGAAGCACUGGCCACGCCUUGGAGCUGGCGGGGACGCCGUGGGACAGUGCGGCUGUUCCCCGAGCAUUUACAGUUACCCCAGCCCCGCAGCCCACCCGGGAGAAAGACAGCCUGGUGCUGAGACAAGUCCCUGCGCAUGCACGUCCAGCAGCAUCCCCACAACAGCCAGGGGCAGAAGCAAGUGCCCGCCCCUCAAGGGACAGACAUGAGACAAAACGCGGCGUGUGAGCCCCCUGGGAAAUACUUCUGGCCGCAGGAUGGAGGGAAGCGCGGACUCAGCCCCCGGGUGGACGGACCUUGAAUGCACGAUGCUCGAUGCUCGGCGAGAGGAGGCGACACAGAAGGCCCCGGAGUGUGUGAUUCCACUUCUGCCAACGUCCCGCAUGGGCAUCCACAGAGGCAGGGGCAGCAGAGUGGCUCCCCAGGCCGGGAGAGGGGGAAACGGGGAGGCUGCUCGAGGGCCCGGGGUUUCCUUGGGGGUGGGAAGGUUCUGGAACUUGCGCGUUGAGACGGAUAUGCAGCUGCGAAGGCGCGAAAAGCCGCUUUCAAAGGGGGAACUUGAUGGGUUCUGAGUCCUGCCUCAACAAGGCUGUUGAUGCAAUUCCCGGGAACCUGGUGAAGGAUCGGGGGUUGUCGUGGCCGCGGCUCAGGGCUUCUUUGGGCGCCGUGUCACGAGGCACAGGAUGUGAGUGUGGCCCUUUACCGCCGACCUCAGCCUGGCGGCAAGGUCGAGGGCGCGGUUAAGGAGGUGCCUGCUGCAUCUCUCCUCUCUGCACAGACGUGCCUGAGGCGUCAGUGGGGCACAGCCUGAGGCCAGGCAGAGGCUGUCCUCCCCCUCGAGCCCUCACUGGCUCACGUCCGCUCCCCCAUGGCUGGGGUCUGGAUCAGGGGGUGGUGGUGGUGGUACCUGGCCCGAGGUGCUCGCUGAGCUGGCAUUCUCGCGAGAGCUGCUGCAUCUUCUCCGUGGAUUCAUUUUUUUCCCCAUUGCUUUGGACUCAGGGCCUCUUACUUUGCCCCGUAGAUUAUAAGCUUUUACUGUCACUGUCUGUUUGAUGAUCAGCUUGCCUACAAGUUGGUCAGUGGGGAGCUGGCUCCUGUCUUCUUGGACGUGUCUCCACCAUUCUUUAAACUCUUGCUUGCUCCCCCGCGCCUGUUCCUUACUUUUCAAAGCCACUAAGCGUUGAGGUUGUUGGCUACACACGAAUAACUGAUGUGGGUGGCUGGGCGAGAGGAUGGAAAGAGUGGGAGUUCCCAUCGUGGCACAGCGGAAGCGAAUCCAACCAGGAACCAUGAGGUUGCGGGUUCGAUCCCCGGCCUUGCUCGGUGGGUUCAGGACCCGGCAUUGCCGUGAGCUGUGGCGUAGGUCGCACAUGCGAAUUGGAUCUGGCAUGGCUGUGGCCGGGCAGCUACAGCUCUGAUUCAACGCCUAGCCUGGGAACCUCCAUAUGCUGCAGGUGCAGCCCUGAAAAUAACAAAAGACAAAAAAUAAAAUAAAAAGCGUGAAGGAUGGAUGAAGGGUGAGCAAGGGAAGGGGGUCAGUGUGCAGAGUGGUGCCCGCCCCCUGAGAGGAGAGGACAGGCUGGGGGACGACAGAUGGGUGCACAGCCAGGGGGUGCGUUUGGGUGGAUGCGUCAGGCUCCCACUGGCCUCCCUGACCUGCCAGGUCAAGGCUGCCCCUGAUGGUGCCGGAGAGACGCUCUUUCCCCGGAGUGGAAGCUGGGCUACUGGCUGCUGCAGACCAAAGUGUCCUAUAGGCAGACCGUCAAAGGGAACAUCAAACCAGGGCUGGAUUCCAGCAGGACCUGCCCAAUGCUGGCCUUCCUCCAGGGCCUCCAGCCGCCCCCCCUCCGCUCUGUGAGCUCCCCCCCAUUGUGGGGAGGGGGCUGUCCAGGAAGACCCUCCAUGCCGUGAGCUGUGCCCCACCUCUGACCCAGCCCCCACUCCGACGGUGUGACCCCAAAGGUGCAAAAGUGCAGGCACCCUCUUGGCGGCCCAGUGUCCACCCACUGGCCUGGUCAGUACACCCACGCGACACCCAGACGCCACACCUGUCAGAAGCUGCUGCCAAAGGACCAAAUGGACCUCGCGUGAUGGGACAGCGCCACCGGUGCUUGAGGGAAAGAAGCCGGUCACGCACCGGGAUGUUGAAGUGACCACAUCUCUCUGAAAGUGGAAAAAGUCUGGAGAGAAAGACACCGGGUGGUCCCCGUGGUUACGGGGGCGGGGGCCACAGCAACCGAGGUUCGGUUGGUGCAGUCACGUGACAGGCCCAGCGCCAACUUUCCAUCAGGAAGGGAAGACGAGCACACUGGCCCGAGGGGCCGUCACGGGAUCCUCCCGCAGGGCCACUCGGGUGCCAGCCGCUCUCUGCAUCCGGAGGGACGGGCACAGUGCGGGCUGGCAGGUGCCGCACGGGCCCCUCCCUGGAAUGCUUCCUCCGCCCUCCUUCUCGCUGGACGACCUCUCCUCCCUCCAAAACCCAGCCUCCCAGCUGCGUCCCUUCCUCUGUGAAGUCCCUUGGGGUUCCCCUCCCAGGCCCACCGAGGCCGCUCUCCCGCUGGCGCCACCAUCCUGGUAAAUUUAUGGUGUGACUGUGCCUCCCUGGGGACCACACCUGGCCCUCGCCGGAUGGAGCCUGCCCGCCUGCACCUUCUGGACAAGCCCUGGAUGCUGGAGUCUGGCUCACGGAGGUCUUAGGUCGGGGGUAGGCGGACAGAACGUCCCCCGUGGGAUCCCAGGGAGCAGCAGGUCGCGAACUUGGAUGCACAGGCAGCUUUGAGGACCGUCCCCCGCGCUGCUGCCCGUCCACCUGCCUGGUCCAGGAGGGAGGAAGAGGCUGCCGAGGGGCAGCGAGGGGCCGCCGAGGCUGCCCACCCAGAACUCUGAGUCCACAGCGCCCGGGGCGGCCCAGGAGUCGGCACUCCCCAGGGGUCUCCAGGCCUCUUGUGUCAGCUUCCAAGGAGACAUCUCGGAUGCGGCAGCUGAGCCUCAGCCCUGGAGGCUGGACAUCGGGGUCAGGUCCCUGCAAAGGCUCUGGGCCGGCCCCUUCCUGCACCUGGUGGCCCCGGCUCCUGGGCUCGGGGCCACGUGCUCCGUCUCUGCCGCCGGCUUCACAGGCCUCCUCUCCCCAUGUCUCCCUCACUCUCGGUGGAUUUAGGGCCGCCCCAACCCAGGAGAGUCCUCUCACCUGAAUUAUGUCCACAAGGACCCGAUUCCCAAUGAGAUCCAUUCGGACGGUCCAGCUGGGGGCCUCCCUCUCCCUCCAGAGCCACUGAUUCCCAGGACCGUGGUCUGUGUGGCCUGCACCCCCCUCCCCGUCCAGCACCCCAGCCUAGCGUCUCUGGAACACAGUCGACUUCUGUCUCAG
rnacentral:lncRNA from 1 species